rnacentral:rRNA from 1 species
GAGAGGACGACCAGCCACACUGGAACUGAGACACGGUCCAGACACCUACGGGUGGCAGCAGUCGAGAAUUUUUCACAAUGGGCGCAAGCCUGAUGGAGCGACGCCGCGUGGGGGAUGAAUGGCUUCGGCCCGUAAACCCCUGUCAUUUGCGAUCAAACCUUCUGACCUAAUACGUCGGAAGCUGAUAGUAGCGAAAGAGGAAGGGACGGCUAACUCUGUGCCAGCAGCCGCGGUAAUACAGAGGUCCCAAGCGUUGUUCGGAUUUACUGGGCGUAAAGGGUGCGUAGGUGGCGAGAAAAGUUUGGUGUGAAAGCUUCGAGCCUAACUCGAAAAUGGCACUAAAUACUUUCUUGCUCGAGGAUUGGAGGGGAGACUGGAAUUCUCGGUGUAGCAGUGAAAUGCGUAGAUAUCGAGAGGAACACCAGUGGCGAAGGCGAGUCUCUGGACAAUUCCUGACACUGAGGCACGAAAGCUAGGGGAGCAAACAGGAUUAGAUACCCUGGUAGUCCUAGCUGUAAACGGUGCACAUUUGCCGUGAGCGGAAUCGACCCCGUUCGUGGCGGAGCUAACGCGUUAAAUGUGCCGCCUGGGGAGUACGGUCGCAAGAUUAAAACUUAAAGGAAUUGACGG